UACGGGGGGGGCAAGCGUUGUUCGGAAUUACUGGGCGUAAAGGGCUCGUAGGCGGCCAACUAAGUCAGACGUGAAAUCCCCAGGCUCAACCUGGGAACUGCGUCUGAUACUGGAUGGCUUGAAUUCGGGAGAGGGAUGUGGAAUUCCAGGUGUAGCGGUGAAAUGCGUAGAUAUCGUCAAGAACACCGAUAGCGAAGGCAGCUUACCAAGCUGUAACUGACACUGAGGCACGAAAGUGUGGGGAUCAAACAGG
rnacentral:rRNA from 1 species